rnacentral:rRNA from 1 species
CAUGCGAUUGGAUUGCACGUCUAAGCAGUAAGGGUGAGUAUUAGGCAAAUCCGGUACUCAUUAAGGCUGAGCUGUGAUGGGGAGAAGACAUUGUGUCUUCGAGUCGUUGAUUUCACACUGCCGAGAAAAGCCUCUAGAUAGAAAAUAGGUGCCCGUACCGCAAACCGACACAGGUAGUCAAGAUGAGAAUUCUAAGGUGAGCGAGCGAACUCUCGUUAAGGAACUCGGCAAAAUGACCCCGUAACUUCGGGAGAAGGGGUGCUCUUUAGGGUUAACGCCCAGAAGAGCCGCAGGCGACUGUUUACCAAAAACACAGGUCUCCGCGAAGCCGCAAGACGAAGUAUAGGGGCUGACGCCUGCCCAGUGCCGGAAGGUUAAGGAAGUUGGUCAGGGAGUUUACUCCUGAAGCUAGCGACCGAAGCCCCAGUAAACGGCGGCCGUAACUAUAACGGUCAUAAGGGAGCGAAAUUCCUUGUCGGGUAAGUUCCGACCCGCACGAAAGGCGUAACGAUUUGGGCACUGUCUCAACGAGAGACUCGGUGAAAUCAUAGUACCUGUGAAGAUGCAGGUUACCCGCGACAGGACGGAAAGACCCCGUGGAGCUUUACUGUAGCCUGAUAUUGAAAUUCGGCACAGCUUG